UAAAGCAGACUUGUGCGGAAACAGCUUCAGGGAGCUCUCACGUUUGAAUAAAAAGCCAAAUAAUACUGUGAGGUGGAUGUUUCUGCUCGGCAUUUUUUUCUUUUUUGUUGAAUCAAAAACGGCUCUGUGUUCCAGGUAAAUAAAUACAGCAUUUGGAUUUGGAGAAAUACUGUAUGUUGGUCCCUGUGGGCUGCUGGCAGAUCUGAAUCCGAACAGGACAGGUA